CUUCCUAUUUUUGUAUUUUCACAAUUUCGUACGUUUUCUUUUUUAUUUGUUUGUUUUUUUUUUUUCCUAGGUUUUCUAAAUGAUAUUUGGGAAUGUUUCAAAGUUCAUUUAACGAUUACGCGAUCGUACGUAUCGUUUCUUACAAAUAUUUUAACAAAGGGAGAGAAACAGAAAAAGGGAAAGAAAAAGAGAGAGAGAGAGAGAGAGAAAAAAAACAGAAGUAUCAUAAAGCGAGUAUCGAUUGAUGAUGUAGCAAAUUAAAAAAAAAAAAAAAGGUGCAUCAAAUUGUCAGAAUAAAUAUAAUACUUAGAGAUAUAUAUAUAUAUAAAAGAAAAAAGAGAGAAAGAGAAAGAAGAAAAAGGUACCACGCACAUAAACGAAGGUUGCCAUUUGGACUCAUUAGUGGAAUGAUUUGUCUGAAUGAGACAUCGUUGCUUACCUAUAAAUCUUAUUGUUUGUUUAGGUUAUGUUUGAGAUUCGCCAUUAGAAAAUAUUUCGUUAGUUUUCAUUAUCGUCCAAAUAUUUUCGGCAACGGUGAUAAUUUUGUUACAUUAUUUGUUUUUCUUCUCUCCACGAAAAUAACAUUUAUUGCACGUUAAAUAAUACACGGAAUGUCGUUAAGUAAACUGAACAAAAAGUUUUCUUUCAUCGUUCUUUCAAAAAUAAAAACCGACAAGUCCAAAGUAUUCCCUUACCUUCGCCAGGUAAUCCUCUAAUUAAAAGCAUAUACAUAUGAAGAAAGACGCGAACUUUUAGACAAAUUUUAUGAGCUUAAUAUCAGUCCUUCAUAAUUUCCCAACGUAUGAAAAGAUUAUAGGACAUUGGUACCGCAUUAGCACCCAUUCUAAGUCCGAAGACGUGAAAUUUGAGAGAGGAAGAAAGAAAGAAAGAUAAAGAGAAGAAGAAGAAGAAGAAAAAGAAGAAGAUACAAAAAGUAGUAACGAGAAAUUUACAAUAAUGAGACAGUGACGAUGCCUUGUACUGCUUGUAUGUUAAUCCUAUUAAUUCUAGAUAUUAAUAAUAAUAAUAAUAAUAAUAAUAAAAUAAUAAUAAUUAUAAUAUACGUAGUAGAAAAUAUCUAUUCGCUUUUAGGAUUAUCGAGUCGAAACGAAGUCAACGAAGUACACACCGAAAUUGGCACCCUGAGCUCUGGAAGUAUUAUACUUUUAAUAUUAGCUAUUCGUGAUUCAGGAUCUUCUGUAAUUCACGUUGAAACUUAACAAUAACACAGAGGCAACACACGAUAAAGAUCUCAAACCACUAUGGAUCGUAUAAAAUCCUGAAGUUACGGAAGCCUCGUCGGUGGUCGAUUGAACGGAACUCAAUGCACAAACGUCGCUAGCUGCAGAUGAUUCAUUAGUACCACUGAUAGCACCCGGGAAACUAGCAGUUUCUGAAGAAACAGCCGAAUUUUGAGCGGUAUGAGAAUAACCGAGCUCCAAACUUGACGUGGC